rnacentral:rRNA from 1 species
GACGAACGCUGGCGGCGUGCUUAACACAUGCAAGUCGAACGGAAAGGCCCUGCUUUUGUGGGGUGCUCGAGUGGCGAACGGGUGAGUAACACGUGAGUAACCUGCCCUUGACUUUGGGAUAACUUCAGUAAACUGGGGCUAAUACCGGAUAGGAGCUCCUGCUGCAUGGUGGGGGUUGGCAAGUUUCGGCGGUGGGGGAUGGGCUCGCGGCUUAUCAGCUUGUUGGUGGGGUAGUGGCUGAGCAAGGCGUUGACGGGAAGCCGGCCUGAGAGGGUGACCGGCCACAUUGGGACUGAGGUACGGCCCAGACGCCUACGGGAGGCAGCAGUGGGGAAUAUUGCUCAAUGGGCGGAAGCCGGAUGCAGCAACGCCGCGUGCGGGAUGACGGCCUUCGGGUUGUAAACCGCUUUCGCCUGUGGCGAAGCGUGAGUGACGGUAAUGGGUAAAGAAGCACCGGCUAACUACGUG